rnacentral:sRNA from 2 species
ACAUUCUAGAAUAGUAGUUAUCCAUCUAAAUUUACUGCGGAGUAGAAAUAUUGUUACCUUUUUAUCAAUUACGAUGCAAUUGAUCACCUUGGCCGUGAUCGGCUUUCUUAUCAAUGUGAAAGUCGAGGCAACAGCGAAGAAUGAUAUAUUUUCAAGUUCAGCAUUUGAGAACGAAGUAUCUGAUAUGAUUCGUAGUAUUCAAAUCGAUUCGACGGGAGUUUUGCAUCUAGAUGAUGAUGGGGUUUUGCGAUCAUAUGAUGGAGCUGGCAACAUUCUUGAUUACAGAAGAUUUAAUAGUAGUCACCUAAUGACUGUUGCCAAUCAGUAUUCGGGAGAUUUGCAGAGUCAUCUGUUUGAGGUUUGGGAUGGUGUUGAUAGCUUUGCAGUUGAAGAGCAUCAGAUAUGGAAUCCCGUCAACAAUCCCUAUCAAUCUCUAUUUCCAAAGCAGGGAACGUCGGAUCGACGGGCGCCUUCACCUUUGACACCACAUGUUAACAGAUGCGAAAAAAUUCGGUGUAAUACUCAUGAGACCUGCCAUGCCAAUAGCUGCUUCUAUUGUUUUCUCUU